GACGAACGCUGGCGGCGUGCUUAACACAUGCAAGUCGAACGGAAAGGCCCUGCUUUUGUGGGGUGCUCGAGUGGCGAACGGGUGAGUAACACGUGAGUAACCUGCCCUUGUCUUUGGGAUAACUUCAGGAAACUGGGGCUAAUACCGGAUAGGAGCUCCUGCUGCAUGGUGGGGGUUGGAAAGAUUCGGCGGUUGGGGCUGGACUGGCGGCUUAUCAGCUUGUUGGUGGGGUAGUGGCUUACCAAGGCUUUGACGGGUAGCCGGCCUGGGAGGGUGACCGGCCACAUUGGGACUGAGAUACGGCCCAGACUCCUACGGGAGGCAGCAGUGGGGAAUAUUGCACAAUGGGCGGAAGCCUGAUGCAGCAACGCCGCGUGCGGGAUGACGGCCUUCGGGUUGUAAACCGCUUUCUCCUGUGACGAAGCGUGAGUGACGGUAAUGGGUAAAGAAGCACCGGCUAACUACGUG
rnacentral:rRNA from 1 species